GAUGAACGCUGGCGGCGUGCUUAACACAUGCAAGUCGAACGAUGAAGACCAGCUUGCUGGGUGGAUUAGUGGCGAACGGGUGAGUAACACGUGAGUAACCUGCCCUUAACUCUGGGAUAAGCCUGGGAAACUGGGUCUAAUACCGGAUAGGAGCGCCUACCGCAUGGUGGGUGUUGGAAAGAUUUAUCGGUUUUGGAUGGACUCGCGGCCUAUCAGCUUGUUGGUGAGGUAAUGGCUCACCAAGGCGACGACGGGUAGCCGGCCUGAGAGGGUGACCGGCCACACUGGGACUGAGACACGGCCCAGACUCCUACGGGAGGCAGCAGUGGGGAAUAUUGCACAAUGGGCGCAAGCCUGAUGCAGCGACGCCGCGUGAGGGAUGACGGCCUUCGGGUUGUAAACCUCUUUCAGUAGGGAAGAAGCGAAAGUGACGGUACCUGCAGAAGAAGCACCGGCUAACUACGUG
rnacentral:rRNA from 1 species